GAUGAACGCUAGCGGCAGGCCUAAUACAUGCAAGCCGAACGGUAAGAUUUGUAGCAAUACGAGUCCUAGAGUGGCGUAAGGGUGCGUAACACGUAUGCAAUCUGCCCGCAACUGGAGGAUAGCUCGGGGAAACCCGGAUUGACCCUCCAUAAGAUCACACAAUGGCAUCAAAGAGUGAUUAAAUCUCCGGAGGUUGCGGAUGAGCAUGCGGUUGAUUAGCUAGUUGGUAGUGUAACGGACUACCAAGGCAAUGAUCAAUAGGGGGAACUGAGAGGUUCGAACCCCACACUGGCACUGAGAUACGGGCCAGACUCCUAC
rnacentral:rRNA from 1 species